UGGAGCAGACGAGGCGGUUGCUCCUUCUGGCCCAUCGGGUUCAGGAGGGGAGGAAAGUCCGAACUCCACAGGGCAGGAUGGUCGCUAACAGCGACUCCGGGCGACCGGAGGAAAGUGCCACAGAGAACAGACCGCCGAAGGGGAAGCGCAAGCUUUCCUCAGGCAAGGGUGAAACGGUGAGGUAAGAGCUCACCGCCCUGAUGGUGACAUCAGGGGCACGGCAAACCCCAUCCGGAGCAAGACCAAAGAUGCCCCCGAAGAGGUGGCCCGCCUCAUGGGGGCGGGUAGGUCGCCAAACCUUCUGAGCAAUCAGAAGGUCAGACAAAUAACCGCCCUCGCCUUAACAGGCGAGAACAGAAUUCGGCUUACGUUCUGCUCCAACCU
rnacentral:RNase_P_RNA from 1 species